CUUAUUUAUCUGUUGGUGCUUCUCUUCUCGUUUUCUCUCCUGUGCAAUCCCUAAUUUUUCUCUCUUUCCACUUCUCUUAUCGUUUUCUCCACUACCAAGCUCCAAAAUCCUUUCUUCUCCACUUUUCUGUCUUUAUUUUUCUUUCCCUUCUUAACUUUCCCUAACCCUUCCUCUGCCGUCUCUUAUGCACGCGAAUCAGAUGAACUCAAUCAAUGAAACACAAAAAGCGAAACCCUACGCCGCGCACGAAACAACCGACAUGGCAUGCGAGUGAUGUCCACAGCCUUCCGCUGCCAGCGAUGUCCGCGGAGCCGCCGACUGUGCCCUCGCCGCCACGGCCUAAGGCCGUAGUCGCUAGAGCCGCGCGAUUCUCGCCGGUGGAAGGGGAGGCACCACAUGAAGGCCAGGAAGUCCCGCCUGAAUUGAUGAAGAAGAGGGCACCGGAGAUUCGGAGAAUGGCCCCGCCGCUGCAGAAGAAGGCGCGCUCUCUCGGACGGUUAAUCCCCAGUUGCCGGAAGGUGUUGUUCCCCGAAGCUUCUAGAAGAAGCCGGUGAUUAUAUCUGUGUCUUGGAGAUGCAAGUGUGAGCCUUCAUCAUCAAAUUUUUUGCCGAUUGGGUGCUAACUUCCUUACAUUCCCUUUUUCAUUGCUUGUUUUUGUUUUUUGGGAUUUCUCAGUAAUUAUGUUAUGGUAUUGUGUAGGUCAUCUGAUGCACACUAGUUAUCUACUGAGAAGAGCAAGUAAUUGGAGGUUCUACUAAGUUUUAGUACCAGUUCACACAGAGUUUCAUUUUUUUUUGCUGCAGCUGUCCUACAGUUGUAGUUUUUAUCUUUUAUUAAUAUGUUAUUUAUAAUUGUACAUUAAUUUAAAUUUAAAUGUUACUUGAUUGUAGACUUUCUUUGUUUCAGGACAUUAUAGCAAAGUUAUUUUCAUUUUCACAGCAGAGGUCAAGGGCUUUGUGCAGCUAAACUGGAAUUGGGACUGUUUCUUCUGUUUCUCUGCGCCAGCCAGCUUCUACUAGCAUCAGUGUUUCUUAUGAGGUGAAUGUCUCAUCAGGAACUUCAUCAACAUCCAUGCCUCAUUUCUUAAUAGAGCCCCUUCCAAACCAAAGGAAUAAUAAUGACAGUAGUGUGCCUGUGAGACCAACUGAUAAGAUAUCUAGAGGUGCAAAAGCAAUUCUUGAGGACAUCAAAAGGGAAUAAAGAGAACAUGUGAAGAAGGAACCAUAUCACCACAUGCAGAGACAAUAGCGUUGUCAACUGUUUCAGAAUCAGAAGAUGGUGAAGCUCAAAUAUGUUUACCAUUUUCAGUUGUGAAUAUAGAACUGGAAAUCAUUGAAGAUGUUGGUGUUGGAGACAUUCAAGAAGCUUAUCCAGGUUAUUAGAAGAUCUCUUUUACUUUUUGUUAUCUUCAUAUUGUUCUAAGAGAGAUGACAUGAAUUUUAUCACUUGAAUGUGUUUUUAUUGUUUUUCUUUUGAAUGACAUUUAUGGUUACCUUUCCCUUCCUUUUAAGAUAAACUUGCUUAGAUCACUUAAGCCACUCUGAAUUUGUUGAAUUGUUAAAAGAUCUGCCUAA